CAGUAGGGAAUCUUAGACAAUGGGGGCAACCCUGAUCUAGCCAUGCCGCGUGUGUGAUGAAGGCCCUAGGGUCGUAAAGCACUUUCGCCAGAGAUGAUAAUGACAGUAUCUGGUAAAGAAACCCCGGCUAACUCCGUGCCAGCAGCCGCGGUAAUACGGAGGGGGUUAGCGUUGUUCGGAAUUACUGGGCGUAAAGCGCACGUAGGCGGAUUAGUAAGUUAGAGGUGAAAUCCCAGGGCUCAACCCUGGAACUGCCUUUAAUACUGCUAGUCUUGAGUUCGAGAGAGGUAAGUGGAAUUCCGAGUGUAGAGGUGAAAUUCGUAGAUAUUCGGAGGAACACCAGUGGCGAAGGCGGCUUACUGGCUCGAUACUGACGCUGAGGUGCGAAAGUGUGGGGAGCAAACAGGAUUAGAUACCCUGGUAGUCCACACCGUAAACGAUGAAUGCCAGACGUCAGCAAGUAUACUUGUUGGUGUCACACCUAACGGAUUAAGCAUUCCGCCUGGGGAGUACGGUCGCAAGAUUAAUC
rnacentral:rRNA from 1 species